GAGGAAUAUUGGUCAAUGGGCGCGAGCCUGAACCAGCCAAGUAGCGUGCAGGAUGACGGCCCUAUGGGUUGUAAACUGCUUUUGUAUGGGAAUAAAGUCAAUCACGUGUGAUUGUUUGCAGGUACCAUACGAAUAAGGACCGGCUAAUUCCGUGCCAGCAGCCGCGGUAAUACGGAAGGUCCGGGCGUUAUCCGGAUUUAUUGGGUUUAAAGGGAGCGUAGGCCGGAGAUUAAGUGUGUUGUGAAAUGCAGACGCUCAACGUCUGACUUGCAGCGCAUACUGGUUUCCUUGAGUACGCACAACGUUGGCGGAAUUCGUCGUGUAGCGGUGAAAUGCUUAGAUAUGACGAAGAACUCCGAUUGCGAAGGCAGCUGACGGGAGCGCAACUGACGCUUAAGCUCGAAGGUGCGGGUAUCGAACAGGAUUAGAUACCCUGGUAGUCCGCACAGUAAACGAUGGAUGCCCGCUGUUGGUACCUGGUAUCAGCGGCUAAGCGAAAGCAUUAAGCAUCCCACCUGGGGAGUACGCCGGCAACGGUG
rnacentral:rRNA from 1 species